CUCUCUCUCUGUCCGUCCCUCUCUCUCUCUCUCUCUGUCCGUCUCUCUCUCUCUGUCCGUCCCUCUCUCUCUCUCUCUGUCCGUCCCUCUCUCUCUCUGUCCGUCUCUCUCUCUCUCUGUCCGUCCCUCUCUCUCUCUCUGUCCGUCCCUCCCUCUCUCUGUCUGUCCUCCCUCUCUCUCUCUCUGUCGUCCCUCCUCUCUCUCUGUCCGUCCCUCCCUCUCUCUCUCUGUCCGUCCCUCCCUCUCUCUCUGUCAGUCCUCCCUCUCUCUCUGUCGGUCCCUCCCUCUCUCUCUCUGUCCGUCCACUCCCUCUCUCUCUCUGUCCGUCCCUCCCUCUCUCUCUCUGUCC
ensembl:lncRNA